rnacentral:tRNA from 1 species
UUAAUUGAAACCAAAACUAGAGGUUUAUCAUUGUUAAUGAUAUCAAUGAAUUUAUUAUUCCAAUUAAA